rnacentral:lncRNA from 1 species
UGGUUACCUUUGUUGCUAUCAUGAGACUUUGGAGCAGGAAAUUCUAGAGGAAGAAACCCUCAACUCUAAAUGGAAUUUCUCCCUACAUCAGUGGUUGACACAGCUCAUGUUCCCUGGGACCAGACUUACGGUGGAGUGGUUUUAUACAGUAAUGGCAGCAAAAAUGAAUAGAUGUUGCUUAAGAUCCAAGAAGAAGAAGAAGAAGUGACUCAAACAGUUUCUGAGCCAACUUAUUCAAACUGCCUCUUCUACGUCACAUU